AUUAUCUUCAUUUCAGAUUCUAAUCUCUUUUUGGUGGCUCAGAGUUAGGUGAGUUUUCUAAGGUCACACAGCAAGUAAGUGGCAGAGUGCUGGCAGCUGGGUCCAGAUUCUUCACUCUUAGCCAUGAAACUGCGCCUGCCGAUUCCCAUUUCACAUCAGGUUUAAUGCCACUUACACCUUGGUGUUAAUGUGCCCCCUGUAGAGAUGAAGAAAGAAGGCUUAGGGUGGUUAUCCAACCCCAUGAUAGGUAGCCAGUCAGUGGCCUGGCCAGGAUUGAUCCCUGAGUCGGUCUUGACUUAGAAGCUUUGUUAGUCAACUUUUCACUGUGAAAAAAUACCUGAGAGAGACAACUCAAAGGAGGAAAGACUUAUUUGGCUCAUAAUUUCCGAGGUUUUAAUACAUGGGCAGCUGGUUCCGUUGCUCUGGGCCUAAGGUGAGGCAGAACACCGUGGCAGAAGAGCACCGCAGAAGGAAGAUGCUCACCUCAUGACAGCCAGGAAGCAGGCGGAGGGUGGGGGGCAUUGUGAGGAAGGGGCCAGGUCAAGAGGGCCCCACCUCCCACCCCAUCAACCACCCCCCAAUGCCAUUAAAUUACGAGCACAUAGAUUAAUCACUUCCCAAAGGCCCUGCUCUGAACACUGCUGCACUAGGGACCCAGCCUUUAACACAUGAGCCUUUGGGCUCCAGAACUAAACUGUAACAGAAGCCCAAAUCUCAAGUUGUUACAGAAGCCCCUGAUCAACGUAGCCUGCAGUCUGGAUCCUUUCUCAACCUCAUCAUUCUGGGGUUGCCUAGGACAUUGUCUGUGCUUCUCACACCCAUAAUCCUACCCAUCUUCAGCCUCCCCAUCCAGAGAUGGUCUAAUUGUCAGCUUACAACAAGGUUUCAGGGGGCUGGUUUUAUUUUACAUAUGGGAAGAUCUUUUUAUUUGCAGAAUUUGUAAAACAUGAAAUGAUCCUCUUGGAAAUGUCAUAUGGCCUAUGACUCAUCAUAUCCCAAUCCUAAAGUUUUGUGUUUUGAUGCAAAGUUCUUCAGAUAUGAUGAUAAGUGCAUUGUGUUUGAUGCCAGUUUCCUCUUUCAACAUAGAUCUACAUUUACAAACUCUUUGUUUUUAUUUCCCAAAUAUUUACAACUGUUCUUAAUUUACCAACUCAUUUCUGGUGGCUUCCUUCCCCACUCAUUGAGAAAUCAUACACUGAUUACAGAGAAAAUGAAAACUUGGAUCAUUGAAAAGGUUAUUAUGUGACCAAUAGAAAUCCCAAAACCUUUACUAGUGAUUACUUUUGUUUUGCAAAUAUUUGUGUAAUUCUUGCUCCCUUUAAUCUUGUAAUUUUCCAGGAAUUUAAAAAUAAUCUCAUGCUGCUAAGUUGUUUUGAGAUGGUACCUUUUUAAAAAAAGGAGAAGAAAGUGGCCGGAAUGUGAAAAUGUUGCCCAAGAAUUCCCAUCAGGCUGCGUUCUAGUCAUCUAUGAGUCUUGACAUCCAAGGAGAGUACAAGGUUCCUUGUGCUCUCCUGAGUGGCUGCUAGAUUCCAUCUCAUAAGUGACCCAAUUGAGAAAAGCAGAGGUUGUCCUCAGAGCCUUUUGUUGGGCAUAAUAAAAUGAUGUGCCCAGCUUCACUGUGAACAGGAGAAACUGCAGGUGUGGGAUGGGCUCCAAGAGUCAGGCUUCACUGAAGGAAAUGAUUAAUGUUGAGUAUUAUGGAGGACCUUGCCCUUGUUC
rnacentral:lncRNA from 1 species